rnacentral:rRNA from 1 species
CAGUAGCCGCGGGAAUACGUAGGUGGCAAGCGUUGUCCGGAAUUAUUGGGCGUAAAGGGCUCGCAGGCGGUUUCUUAAGUCUGAUGUGAAAGCCCCCGGCUCAACCGGGGAGGGUCAUUGGAAACUGGGAAACUUGAGUGCAGAGGAGGAGAGUGGAAUUCCACGUGUAGCGGUGAAAUGCGUAGAGAUGUGGAGGAACACCAGUGGCGAAGGCGACUCUCUGGUCUGUAACUGACGCUGAGGAGCGAAAGCGUGGGGAGCGAACAGGAUUAGAUACCCCCGUAGUCCCUGUCUCUUAUAC